rnacentral:lncRNA from 1 species
AUCGAAUAACAGAUGAAAUAAUAGAGUCAGAUGAGUAUUAUUGAGAGUUAGAAAGCAAAAUUAGAAAAAAUAAAAAAAGUAUUGCAACCCGUCGCACCUGCAGCCAAAUCUUCAGUAUUCAAUAGCAACGCCCAAGAUUUUAUUCCAAAGUCAAACCCCAUUUACGCAUUCUAGUCGGGAUACAAGUUCGACCUCAAGCCAAAAUCAUCGCCUACCCAUGUUAACGCUACCAAAUUUUAGCAGAGAUAUAUUAGAAUGGAAAUAUUUCUGAGAUUCACUUGAAUCGACAAUUCAUCUUAACAACACACUAUCCGACAUACAGAAAUUCUCAUAUUUAAAGUCUUCAUUGUAGUCAGAUGCCGCAUACGUAGUCUCAGGCCUCACCAUGACCAACCCAAAUUAUUACAAGGCUCUUGAACUUUUAAAGAAUCGUUAUGGUCAAACC